rnacentral:tRNA from 1 species
GGCGCUGCCGUUAUUGGCCUGGUGAUUCUCAGGCUGGGUAUCGGUCAGGGGCUGCAAAUUGGCCUCUGGGCAUUGUUGCCG